rnacentral:rRNA from 1 species
CUGAUCAGCGAUGCCGCGUGAGUGAAGACGGCCUUUGGGUUGUAAAGCUCUUUCGUCGGGGAAGAAUAUGACUGUACCCGAAUAAGANCGGUCCGGCUANACUUCCGUNGCCAGCAGCCGCGGNUAUACUUCCC